GACGAACGCUGGCGGCGUGCCUAAUACAUGCAAGUAGAGCGCACAGACGAGGAGCUUGCUCUUCUGACGUUAGUGGCGGACGGGUGAGUAACGCGUGGAUAACCUACCUUUUAGCCUGGGAUAACUUCGGGAAACGAUAGCUAAUACCGCAUAACAUAUUAUACCACAUGGUUUAUUUUUGAAAGACGGUAUUGCUGUACCAUAUGGAUGACUCCCCUUCGCAUUAGCUAGUUGGUAAGGUAACGGCUUACUAAGGCAACGAUCCGUAGCCGACCUGAGAGGGUGAUCGGCCACACUGGAACUGAGACACGGUCCAGACUCCUACGGGAGGCAGCAGUAGGGAAUCUUCCGCAAUGGGCGAAAGCCUGACGGAGCAACGCCGCGUGAGUGAUGAAGGUCUUCGGAUCGUAAAGCUCUGUUAUUAGGGAAGAACAAGUGUGUAAGUAACUAUUCACGUCUGGGCGGUUCGUAAUCAGAAAGGCACGGGUAACUUCGGU
rnacentral:rRNA from 1 species